rnacentral:rRNA from 1 species
GACGAACGCUGGCGGUGUGCUUAACACAUGCAAGUCGAACGGGCCUUGUCCCCUUUUUUUUUGGGGGUGGGGUUAGUGGCGAACGGGUGAGUAACACGUGAGUAACCUGCCCCUCACUUCUGGAUAACCGCUUGAAAGGGUGGCUAAUACGGGGUGUUCUGGCCUGCUCGCAUGGGUGGGUUUGGAAAGAUUCGACCGGUUUUGGUUGUUUUGGUGGGGGAUGGGCUCGCGGCCUAUCAGCUUGUUGGUGGGGUGAUGGCCUGCCAAGGCUUUGACGGGUAGCCGGCCUGAGAGGGUGGGCGGUCACACUGGGACUGAGACACGGCCCAGACUCCUACGGGAGGCAGCAGUGGGGAAUAUUGCACAAUGGGCGCAAGCCUGAUGCAGCGACGCCGCGUGAGGGAUGGAGGCCUUCGGGUUGUGAACCUCUUUCGCCAGUGAAGAAGGUCCUGCUCUUUGUGGUGGGGUUGACGGUAGCUGGGUUAAUGAAGCGCCGGCUAACUACGUG